AGGGGGAAUGCCUAUACAUGCAAGUCGAGCGGACUUGAUGGGAAGCUUGCUUCCUUGAUGCUUAGCGGCGGACGGGUGAGUAACACGUAGGCACCUGCCCUCAGCUUGGGACAACUACCGGAAACGGUGCUAAUACCGAAUACUUGUUUUCUUCGCCUGAAGAAAACUGGAAAGACGGAGCAAUCUGUCACUUGAGGAUGGGCCUGCGGCGCAUUAGCUAGUUGGUGAGGUAACGGCUCACCAAGGCGACCAUGCGUAGCCUACCUGAGAGGGUGAUCGGCCACACUGGGACUGAGACACGGCCCACACUCCUACGGGAGGCAGCAGUAGGGAAUCUUCCGCAAUGGGCGAAAGCCUGACGGAGCAAUGCCGCGUGAGUGAUGAAGGUUUUCGGAUCGUAAAGCUCUGUUGCCAGGGAAGAACGCUCGGGAGAGUAACUGCUCUCAGAGUGACGGUACCUGAGAAGAAAGCCCCGGCUAACUACGUGCCAGCAGCCGCGGUAAUACGUAGGGGGCAAGCGUUGUCCGGAAUUAUCGGGCGUAAAGCGCGCGCAGGCAGUCAUUUAAGUCUGGUGUUUAAUCCCGGGGCUCAACCCCGGAUCGCACUGGAUACUGGAUGACUUGAGUGCAGAAGAGGAGAGUGGAAUUCCACGUGUAGCAUGAAAGGGGCGUAAAAA
rnacentral:rRNA from 1 species